GACAGAGGAUGCAAGCGUUAUCCGGAAUGAUUGGGCGUAAAGCGUCUGUAGGUGGCUUUUAAGUCCGCCGUCAAAUCCCAGGGCUCAACCCUGGACAGGCGGUGGAAACUACCAAGCUGGAGUACGGUAGGGCAGAGGGAAUUUCCGGUGGAGCGGUGAAAUGCGUAGAGAUCGGAAAGAACACCAACGGCGAAGCACUCUGCUGGCCGACACUGACACUGAGAGACGAAGCUAGGGAGCAACAGG
rnacentral:rRNA from 1 species